rnacentral:rRNA from 1 species
ACUGCCAAGAAAAGCUUCUAGCCAGGCGAAGGUGCCCGUACCGCAAACCGACACAGGUGGGUGAGAAGAGAAUUCUAAGGCGCGCGGAAGAACUCUCGUUAAGGAACUCGGCAAAAUGACCCCGUAACUUCGGGAGAAGGGGUGCCUCGGUAGGGUGAAUAGCCCGAGGGGGCCGCAGUGAAAAGGCCCAAGCGACUGUUUAGCAAAAACACAGGUCUGUGCGAAGCCGCAAGGCGAAGUAUACGGGCUGACGCCUGCCCGGUGCUGGAAGGUUAAGAGGAGUGGUUAGGGACCUCGGUUCCGAAGCUAUGAAUUGAAGCCCCAGUAAACGGCGGCCGUAACAAUAACGGUCCUAAGGUAGCGAAAUUCCUUGUCAGGUAAAUUCUGACCCGCACGAAUGGCGUAACGACUUGGGCGCUGUCUCAACGAGAGAUCCGGUGAAAUUUUAAUACCUGUGAAGAUGCAGGUUACCCGCGACAAGACGGAAAGACCCCAUGGAGCUUUACUGCAGCUUGAUAUUGGACUUUGGUACGAUCUGUACAGGAUAGGUGGGAGCCUUUGAAGCCUGAGCGCCAGCUUGGGUGGAGGCGACGUUGGGAUACCACCCUGAUCGUAUCGGAGUUCUAACCUGGUACCGUAAACCGGUAUGGGGACAGUGUCAGGUGGGCAGUUUGACUGGGGCGGUCGCCUCCUAAAAUGUAACGGAGGCGUUUAAAGGUUCCCUCAGAAUGGUUGGAAAUCAUUCGUAGAGUGCAAAGGCAUAAGGGAGCUUGACUGCGAGACCUACAAGUCGAGCAGGGACGAAAGUCGGACUUAGUGAUCCGGUGGUACCGAAUGGAAGGGCCAUCGCUCAACGGAUAAAAGCUACCCUGGGGAUAACAGGCUUAUCUCCCCCAAGAGUCCACAUCGACGGGGAGGUUUGGCACCUCGAUGUCGGCUCAUCGCAUCCUGGGGCUGAAGUAGGUCCCAAGGGUUGGGCUGUUCGCCCAUUAAAGCGGUACGCGAGCUGGGUUCAGAACGUCGUGAGACAGUUCGGUCCCUAUCUGUCGCGGGCGUAGGAAAUUUGAGAGGAGCUGUCCUUAGUACGAGAGGACCGGGAUGGACGUACCGCUGGUGUACCAGUUGUCUCGCCAGAGGCAUCGCUGGGUAGCUAUGUACGGAGGGGAUAAGCGCUGAAAGCAUCUAAGCGCGAAGCCCCCCUCAAGAUGAGAUUUCCCAGUAUGUAAGACCCCUUGUAGACGACGAGGUUGAUAGGUUCGAGGUGGAAGUGCAGCAAUGCAUGCAGCUGACGAAUACUAAUCGGUCGAGGGCUUAACCGA